rnacentral:siRNA from 1 species
UAAGGAAGGGCGCCCAGGAC